GGGCGCGUAGCUCAAUUGGCAGAGCAACUGACUCUUAAUCAGUAGGUUGUAGGUUCGAUUCCUACCGCGCUCACCA
rnacentral:tRNA from 7 species